CCCACUCCCCGGCGCCGCUCGUGGGGGGCCCAAGUCCUUCUGAUCGAGGCCCAGCCCGUGGACGGUGUGAGGCCGGUAGCGGCCCCCGGCGCGCCGGGCCCGGGUCUUCCCGGAGUCGGGUUGCUUGGGAAUGCAGCCUAAAGUGGGUGAUAAACUUCAUCUAAGGCUAAAUAUAGACGCGAAUUCGAUAGCAAACAAGUACUGUGAAGGAAAGUUGCAAAGAACUUUGAAGAGAGAGUUCAAGAGAACGUGAAACCGUUAAGAGGUAAACGGGUGGGGUCCGCGCAGUCCGCCCGGAGGAUUCAACCCGGCGGCG
rnacentral:ncRNA from 1 species